UUUUCAAUCGAAGACAGCUCAAGAAUGAGAUUAUAGAAGGAAGAAGUCAAACAUUGGAGGGACAUUUUUGGUCAUUUCAUCUUCAGAAAUUACACUUUUUGGAGUCGAAUAUAUAUGAAAGUAGUCUCUCCCCUACAAAGGCACGGGUAAAGUUUCUGUACAUUUCAUCUUUCAUAAACUAAUAAAAUUACACCGAGUAUAUUUAUUGUUAUUGUCAUCCCUAGAGUAGAGGCGGAGCCAACUUUCUUUAGGGUGUUCGGCCGAACCCCUAACACUCUUGAUGAAAAAAUAUACUAUUUAUCUAUGAUUAAAAUUAUUUUUUAUAUGAUUAUAGUAGAUGUUGAACCCCCUUCGACUAAGUUUUCUUUUAAUAUUGAAACCCUUUAGUUGAAAUCCUAGCUCCCGCCUCAGCCCUAGAAUAGCCACUUUCUCUCGGUGGACUUUUGUCUAUUUUCUUUAACCUUUGGUAAUAUUUAGGAGAAAAAUGGGGUUGAAAAGAUUAUCACUUAAUUGACAUGAGAAAAUGGAAUAAUCGAGAAUCUCGAGUAACUGGCCAAGCCGCCAAAGUCGCUAAGGUAGUGAUAAAUCCUGUUAAUAAAAUGGGUCCUAUAGAAAGUCCAUCUAUUCCUAAUUUUCAAUGGAAAUCAAAAAAAUCGAUCCAUUUAUAAUCCUCCACUAGUUGUAUUAAUGGAUCAUCCGAUUGGAAAUGAUAACAAAAUGCAUAAUACAUAGGCUAAGUCAACGCCUAGGAAGUAAUUCAAAUAGAAUCCAUUUGUCCGGAGGAAAAGCUAUAUUCAGUAAUAUGGAUUUCUCAAGGUAAAAUUGCUAGUCCUAUAUUAAAUUUAGCUUUAGCAUUUGUCUCUUUCUUUCUUAUGAUUAUCACUUAAUUGGGGCUAAGUCAACGCCUAGGAAGUAAUUCAAAUAGAAUCCAUUUGUCCGGAGGAAAAGCCAUAUUUAGUAAUUGGCUGGUGGGAGGUUGCAGGUAUCACAUAAAAUUAAUUGAAAAAUAUAUAAUUUGGUCCGAGCAAUACGAUUAUAAAUAGAAUAAAAAGAGCCAAAAUCAAUAAAAUGGAUGCAUAUUGUUAUGCAUACCGGUUCACACUUAUGCCGGUUUGUUUGACAUUUCCAUCAAUUUUAACCGGUCAAAUACACAAUUGUCCCACAUGCAACCUCACAAAUGCAAGAGGAGCCUCACCUAGUCGCGGUUCAAGAAGCAAAUUAACCCAGAGGUAGAGACAUGAUGGGACUAGGGAGAAAAGGGGAUUUAAGAAAUGCUACAACUGUUAGUCAAACUUAUGAUCUACAAUAAUUUUUUAGCCCUCUGUAUUAAUAUUCUAGAAGUGUUCUUUGUGUUAAUAGAAUCAACAAGCAAUAAAUAUAUACAUAAAGAAUAGUUCCACAGUUUCACUUAUGUACGUGUAAUUUUCUAACGAAUGAGAUGCAAUUAAUCAUCCCAUGGACAAUGUGUCUCCAUUACUGCAUUGCCUCAAGUCAAUAUAAAUCAUAAGGGGUUCCGGUUGCGUCCCAGCCCGGCAGACGCAAGGACAAAUUGCUUCCAUCGCAGAGGACCGGUGUCGUUUCGCGGAACCUCUUUCUAUUUUUAACCGUUUAAACAUUGAGCUUCGAAGAGCUUCAAUUCUACUGCUUUAUAAUUUUUCCUUAUUAUUCUUUUUAAGGGAAACAAAUUAAAAAGCAUGAUUGGAUAAAUAACUAUAUCCCUAAAUAAGAAGUUGAUGAGUGUGGAACAAGGAAAGACGUGCUGCUGAUAAUGCGCCAUAUGGCUAGCUGCUAUACUUUCAACUACUUAAUUAUUGAGUUGACCGAAGAACACAUUUUGUGUAAAAAUACGUUCAAAGGUGUACCUUAUCUCUUUGUUUUCUUUGCAGUAUCUCUUUGUUUUCUUUGCAGUCUGCACUAACUUAUCAAGAGGCCUUACAUAUAAUUUUCAGAACUCACAACGUUUAAAUUUGAAUCUCAUUGUCUCCUGCAGAAACCAAUACACUAUACUGCCUCUCAGAAAUUAUAGUAACCUUACGUUGAACAAAAUGGAUUCCCAGAUCUCGGAUCAUUCUUGCUGUUAGCACAAAAGGUGCACUAUUUGUAGGUUAUUUGAGAAUAUAAUUUCCAUUUUCCACCAUUAACAUCUUUGAAAGUUGACAAUAAAAUUCCCAAUAUUAACACCACUAUCAAUUGCAAGUGCACAGGUUCUGCAUUCGAGGAUAAGCCAAUCUCUUGUGAAAAAAGUGGUCUUGGGGGAUCUUAUAGCUCAGUUGGUUGACUAUCUAAACUAUCAUCUUGUUGGUGAGGUUUCGAUUUCCCACUUUGAUCCUCUCCCCCAAUGUAAUAAUUUUUCUU
rnacentral:lncRNA from 1 species